CUCCUUGCUCUGCUUUUCCCUUUUAGCCCAAACAUAAACAGCCUUUUUCUUCUCAACUUUCCUUUUUCCUUCUUUUUUUUUUUAGGGUUAGGGUUUCUCUUCUAAGAAAAUGUCGUAGAAACCCCCUUUUUCUUUCUAUAUAUUGCAGGAAUUUUCUCUGGGCCAACUUUCCAGGUCAACUAUGGCUUGAUUCUUUGAUUUUCCGAUUUAAGUUUCUCAGCUAAACCCACAUAGGACAAGUCCACUUCUUGAACAAUUAGAAGCUAUGUACCAGGAAGGAGCCCCUGAGUAUGUUAUUGAUCAGGGAAUGUACUACCCUACUGCCACCAACUAUGGAUAUUAUUGUACAGGUUUUGAAUCACCCGUUGAAUGGGAGGACCACCAGAAUAUUUUUAUUGCAGAUGGUCCAGAUCUCCAAUAUGCGGGUGCCCAAACUGAAACUAUGCCUUAUGUAUAUUACACACCUAGCUAUGGGUAUGCACAGUCUCCAUACAACCCAUACAAUCCUUACAUUCCUGGUGCUAUGAUGGGUAACAGCCCAUUUAUAGGGAUGCAACAAUAUUACACUGUCCCCCCUUAUCAAAACCCUGUAUCUCCAACUGCGUGUGUUCCUGUUGUCAUUCAACCGGAUGGCAUUGCAAGUAGUUCAACAGACUCUUUAUUAGAUACUCGUGAAUCAAUCGCUAAUAGACCUGAUGGAAGAGGAGUUAAACAUAACCUUGCUUCAGCAUCUGCAGCCUUUUCUAGAAACUCUUCAAAGUCUGCUCCAAAUCAGACAGAUUCCUUGACCCGGGUAUCAGAUGGACAAAGUAAGCAUUCUUCAAUCCGUGGAAGCAUUCCUGAUAGUUCUAGUUCUGCUUCAGCACGUGCUCAUCUGGGUAGAAUUGCUUCUGGUUCCAUUCAGCCUAUCGGCAACAUUCCUGGUGGGAGACUUCCAUCUCAUUGUAAUCAAUUAAAAACGGAUCUUCCUGUUGGUAAUGCCUUUUCUGACUAUGUAUCAAGUGCUCCUGGACGUGGAGCUCUGGAUAAGUUUCAAACCAAGAUCCGUGUUGGCAGGGUUUUGAAUGAUGCACAUGGAUUCCCAGAUACAUUGGGUGAACAGAAUCGAGGCCCUAGAACCAACAGAUUAAAAAACCAACUCAUGGUUAAAGGCUACACUGGUAAAGCUGAAAAUAGUGAUGCUGAAGGAAACAUCAUUAUCUAUACUGACCAAUAUAACAAGGACGAUUUUCCAAUUGGCUAUGUUGAUGCAAAGUUUUUUGUAAUAAAAUCAUAUAGUGAGGAUGAUGUACACAAGAGCAUCAAAUACAAUGUUUGGUCCUCUACACCCCACGGGAACAAGAAACUGGAGAGUGCUUUUAAAGAUGCACAGAAAAUAGCUGCAGGAAAACCUAGUGGCUGCCCGAUCUUCCUGUUCUUUUCUGUUAAUGGCAGUGGACAAUUCUGUGGUGUUGCGGAGAUGAUUGGCCCAGUUGACUUCCAGAAGGAUAUGGUUUUUUGGCAGCAAGAUAAGUGGAGUGGAAGCUUCCCUGUCAAGUGGCAUAUCAUUAAAGAUGUUCCAAAUAGCCAUUUUAGACACAUCAUAUUAGAGAACAAUGAAAACAAGCCUGUGACUAAUAGCAGGGAUACACAAGAGAUAAUAUACAAGCAAGGUAUGGAGAUGCUGAGAGUAUUCAAAAAUCACACAAUGAAGACCUCUUUACUCGAUGACUUUAUGUACUAUGAGAAUCGUCAAAGAAUCAUACAGGAAGAGAAAGCCAGGUUACUAAUUAAAAGCUUUGAGAGCCCAGUCCUAGCACCUGCAUUGGAUCCUGCCAAUAAGCUAAAAUAUGUUGAGCUACUUCUGAAUGAAAAUGAGAAAACUACCAUGCAAGGAGAUUCUAACAUGUUGAAGAGAACAGUUCCUUCAUAUGGUCAGCAGGUUUCUGCCGAUUCAGAUAUAACUAAUGCAAGAAUGAUGAAUGAAAAUGUAGAGAGAAUUGCAGUUGAAGCCAAAGAUGAUGCAUCUACUUUAAAGAUUGGCUCACUCACUAUAAAUCCAAAGCAGGAUGAGUCUGAAACCUCUGCAGAUGCUGCUAUGGAUACUGAUGCUAUUGAGGUGGUAACUGUAGGAUCAGUGCCUGUAAAAGUCAACGGAUUUACUGAAUCUUCUGGUUUUCUAACUGUUGGUACUAUUCCUCUUAAUCCAAAGACGCUACAGCUUGAUGAAGGAGGUGUUUCUGCUAAAAGGGGUAUUAAUCAUGCCGAGGCUUAUGAUUAACUGGGGCUAAUUUUUCAGCUGGAUCAUACUCAAACCUGUUAGUUAUAGUGCAGUCUUGACUGUUGUAAAUCUGAGUGUAUCAUCAUACUCGUUGUUAAAGAAGGAUGGUUAAUCGAAAUACUUGUUCAGAAUGUUACUAAAUGAAACUCUGCUUGGGACACUUCACUUGCUUCAGAUUGGUUUCUCAGAGAAUGAGGUUCGAUAGCAAUUCACAAGUUCGCUGAGUAGUUGCUCUGACCACUUUGAACGUUCAUGAAUGCCAUUUCGCAGUUAGACUUUAUAAAUUUAAUUAUGACAUACUCUCUGUCUUAAGCCUAAGCUGUUUUAAAUAUGUUGGAUAUGAGUAAAGUGAAGCCAGUUUGAGAAUAAAAAAGCACUUCUUCAUGUUUUUGGGGUCAAGAAAUAUUAACCUUGGGGAAUCUUGCAAAGGUAAAAAGACCAAAGGAAUAG